UGGAGGGCUUUGGUUAAUUCGGUGAUGAACCUUCGGGUUUCCAUUACUUAGAGACCAGAUCUGUUGAAUAACCUUGUUUCACUGUUGGGAUGUUCCAGUUGUACAAUAUUUCAAAUCAUAAACACAGAGUUUUGCACGGAACGUUGGUAAAACUUUGGAUGGAUUUUCAUUGGCUUAUUUUGAGUGAAAACUGUCGUAGAAAGAUUGGUAGAAAUCGCUACCGUUACGUAUGUAAAACAUACUUGUGGCUGCAAAACCACGGCUCUCCUCUUGUGAAUAUCAGAUGCCGGCGAUCACAUCGAAUUCCAAGUAAGCCCGAGAAUGUUUCUCAACGUACGCUGAGCGCUAACGUAAGCAUGAUUCGUAGUCAUGCGCAGUGAGACCACGUGUUGUUAACAGCUGUGAUGUGACCGGCCUUGGGUUACGACGACAUCGAGGGCCCCCACGACAGCCAGGCCGGCCACGUGCUGACUCACCUCGACAUUUCUCAGUUGACGUUCUGGAAACUUCAAGAUGCUUCUGCGAUGAAAGUUAAAAAGAGCCCUCCGACAGCAAUAUGGAGGUGAAACCGCGUUCCUUCUCUGUUGCGGGCGAAGAAAUUUUGUUGAACUGGCGUUGAUGCGAAGAUCACUUUGGACGGAAGAAAGCCCCCAAGUCUGCUGCAGAUUGCAAGAUGUCUUCCCUAUGUAAACAGGCCAGUCUUAGUCUUGUAGCGUCUCGUUAAUCCUCCUGACAGCAGGAUUUCCCUUGGGAUCUUGUGGUCUCGUGAACAAGGGUCAACUCACAGAUUGAGCGCUAUUGAGACAAGGAAAAACCGAUGUGAUACAGAAGGCGAACUGACGAAGAAAAAUUGGACCCAGACAGACGUUCAUCGCGUCUUUACAACAAGAAUUCAUUUGUGCUCAGACUACGUAGUGUUCACUUAUGGGAUAAUAUGUAAUAUCAAUAUGGAAGGAAUUGGUCGUCACCUAAUUCACGGUACUGUCUCGGAAUUUAAC